rnacentral:rRNA from 1 species
CAAAGGUAGCAUAAUCAUUAGUUUUUUAAUUGGAAACUAGAAUGAAGGGUUGGACAAAGGAAAAGCUGUCUUUAAAUGCAAACAUUGAAAUUUACUUUUAAGUGAAAAGGCUUAAAUAAAUUAAAAAGACGAUAAGACCCUAUAAAGCUUUAUAUAUUACCUAAAUUUGAUUAAUUAAAUAAAUAAAAGUUAAGUUUAUUUGUUAUAUUUUGUUGGGGAGAUGUGAGUAUAAUUUUUGUAACUGCUUAAAUAAUAAAACAAUAAUAAAUGGGUUAAAGUGUAAAUGAUCCUUUUUAAAGAUUAAAAGAUUAAGUUACUUUAGGGAUAACAGCGUUAUUUCUUUUGAGAGUUCAUAUCGAAAAAGAAGUUUGCGACCUCGAUGUUGAAUUAAAAUGUCUAUAUAGUGCAGCCGCUAUAAAAGAAGGUCUGUUCGACCUUUAAAUUUUUACAUGAUUUGAGUUCA